GGUCUCGAUGGAGUUGGGAAGA
rnacentral:miRNA from 1 species